UACGGAGGGGGCUAGCGUUGUUCGGAUUUACUGGGCGUAAAGCGCUCGUAGGCGGCGCCGUAAGUCAGGGGUGAAAUCCCGGAGCUCAACUCCGGAACUGCCUCUGAAACUGCAGUGCUAGAAUCUUGGAGAGGCGAGUGGAAUUCCCAGUGUAGAGGUGAAAUUCGUAGAUAUUGGGAAGAACACCGGUGGCGAAGGCGGCUCUCUGGACCGAGACUGACGCUGAGGAGCGAAAGCGUGGGGAGCAAACAGG
rnacentral:rRNA from 1 species